CCAAGAUGAACAGAUUACAGACCAAUAUAUUACACACGGUACACACAGACGGAUUACACAGAUUACAAGAGAACUGAGGCAACAUUGGAUGCCCGAGUAGCUCAAGCCGUCCGCCGCGGCGCCGGAGCUUGCCAACCUCAUCCCGGAGAUGGUGCGGCGUCGAGGGCCGGGCCGGCGCAGGCAUGCUGGGCCGACGGGCCGGGGCCAGUGGCCUGCGGUGGCGAAGGAGGACGGGGUCGGGCCCGGUGGCGCCGGUGGUGAAGACGGGCCAUGGACGGUGCGGGCGACGGGGAACGGGGCCGGCAACCGGCUGGGACAACGGGGGACGGGGCGACGGCGCCAGGCCGGCGGUCCGUGAGGGCGACAGGUCGGGGCCAGUGGCCUGCGGUGGCGAAGGGGGACGGGGUCGGGCCCGGUGGCGCCGGUGGUGAAGACGGGCCGUGGCGGGUUGGGCGACGGGGAACGGGGCCGGUGACCGGCUGGGGCGACGGGGGACGGGGCGCGUAGGUCGACUGGGGCGACGGCGCCAGGCCGGCGGUCUGCGAGGGCGAAGGGGAACGGGGCCGCUGGAUCUAGAGGCCAAGAGGGAAGGCCCGAGGACUCGGCUCAGGCGACGGCGAGGCGGGAUCAACCGGCGGUGGUUGACCAGCUAGGGACGAGGAGGAGCCUGGACCGGGCAGAGAAGAAGGGAUCGAGGGAGAGAUGCGG
rnacentral:rRNA from 1 species